UGGGGAAUAUUGCACAAUGGGGGAAACCCUGAUGCAGCGACGCCGCGUGAGCGAAGAAGGCCUUCGGGUCGUAAAGCUCUUUUAUGAGGGAAGAUAAUGACGGUACCUCAAGAAAAAGCCCCGGCUAACUACGUGCCAGCAGCCGCGGUAAUACGUAGGGGGCUAGCGUUGUCCGGAAUCACUGGGCGUAAAGGGUUCGCAGGCGGAAUAACAAGUCAGAUGUGAAAGGCAUGGGCUCAACCCAUGUAAGCAUUUGAAACUGUAAUUCUUGAGAAGUGGAGAGGUAAGUGGAAUUCCUAGUGUAGCGGGGAAAUGCGUAGAUAUUAGGAGGAAUACCUGUGGCGAAGGCGACUUACUGGACACAAAUCUGACGCUGAGGAACGAAAGCGUGGGUAGCAAACAGG
rnacentral:rRNA from 1 species